AUGGGUUACUGCAAACAUUGCAAGAACUUGGGGGGAAAGUUGCCAUAUUUGUUCUUUGGCACCCUGGAAUCGACGUGCGGGCGGGCGCGCGCGCGCACACACACACUCCCACCCUUGCCCAGCACGCCCGGAGAAAACAUCUCUAGACGGUGGAGGCACUGUCUUCAAGUCCCUGUCGACCCACCCCCUUCGCCCAACCAUCACCCUCCUGCAGCUCCGCGACCCACUCACCCUCCCACGGCAUCCCCUAGGCUCCGCGACGGACAGACGCAAGCACACACCCUCCGAGCGUCUGCGCGCCCGCCGCGCCGGAGGGGGCUCCGCGGUCUGCGCCGGCCGCCACGCGGCGCGGGGCAACUGGGAAAAAAAGUUCUGCUCAGACUACCAGUGAGCCGACCGACCACCAGCCGACCCGGGCGCCGACCCCCUGCUCCUUACCUCGGUCUGGGGGCCACGGGAGCGCGCCGGUCCCGUCCGCACUGCAGCCAGCUGGAAGGAGCACCUCUCCUGCCGGCCAGCUCCCUCCGGCCCCUCCCCGCCCCCCACGGGUGUUUGCCCGGCGGCAAAGCGGGCUCUUCCAGGUGGUGAAACCUACGUACAGAUCAGUCAGGGUAUCUGCUGGAUGGAACCAAGCUUGAAAGUGGUGGGUGCAGAUUGGAACCAAUACUUCAUCUGCAAGGCUUGGGCUCUAAGCCAAGGCUUCAAUGAAGAGAUCAGCAGAUGAAUUCUCCCCUCAAAGGUGUGACAGCGUCACCAGGAAGUGGUGAAUUUUCACAGAGUGGGACUUGGUUAGAGGAGAAGAAAGUCCCAAUGGGUCAAAAAUGGAGGUUGUUGAAGUUUUUUUGUUUUUUUGUUUGUUUGUUUGUUUGUUUUUUGCUGCAGAUACAAUUAUUCACUUGAUGAAGGAAGAUGAGUAAUAGGGCUCUCAGCCUGAGGUCUAGGUUACUUCUUACUUCCUCCCACCUGGAUUAACUUCAGGAAGGUGCAACUUAUGUAGCUGCAGGGCCCUAGGCUCAGAAGGGCUCCAUGCUUGGUUUAAGAUUCUACUGUUAUUGCUUGAAAUUCUUGAAAAUUAUGUCUUUGAACCUGUGUUUUGUAAGUGAAGUCUAUGGGAUAAUAGAGAAUGUGUGUGCCCAUCCAUCGUUCCUGCCCCCACAAUGCUGGCAGUAGCCCAGGAGUACAGAAUUCCAGUGGGAGCUCAGCGAGACUCACGGUAAGUAGAAUGGAAAGUAAGCCUAUGACUACGCAGAUGGGGACACGGACAGUGCCCAGAGGUCAUGCUUUCUGUUUGAACCAGCUGCUUCAAAUGCAGAAGGAAGGCAAUGGAGUUCUAAGAAACACUAAUGACUAAGGGACCCUAGAGUAGCAUUUCUUACUUAUGUUCCUUCCCUGUAUUUGCCAAACACCCAUGCUGAAAAUGAUGACGCAGAAGGAAAGGUGAAGAUACAGCAAUCCAUACCUAUUUCUCCUCAACAGCAAGCUGAAGGUGGAGAGUGCUGGUACAAAGCGCUUGUAUCAAGAAGUGAAAUAAAAACAGUGGAGUGCAUUUUGUCAGCAUCUCCACUGUUCUGGUAAGAAUGAAAUACCUAUGCAUAUACGACCUAUGAAAUGUGAAUUGUGUAAUUUCGAUGUUCUACAAAUGAGUUAAAUGCUCUUGUGUUUACAUUUACAACUGGCAUCACAUAAUAUGAAUGUAUUAUUCAUAUGUGAUGAAUAGUAAAAUUCAUGCUAAAAACUUAAAAUUUUUAUUUUUAUUUAGCACCACAUAAAAAAGAGCAAAUAAAAAACCACCAUGAUGAUUCUAGAGAUAGACUGUGGAAGAAAGACAAAGGCAUUAUAUGUAGGCACUUUCUUCCUGCUUUUUGAACAAGGGGCCCUACAUGUUCAUUUUGUGCCAGGCCCCAUGAAUUUUAUAACCGGCUCUGCCCCUGCCCCUAGGUUUCUUUUGAGAAACAGGGCAAGCGCCAGGGCUCAUCAAAGGUGAUGAAGAUAAAAGUUGGACUUCAUUCUUGCCAUAAAUGAGUAGACACCUGCUUGCCGAAACGCUCUCCAACGUCGCGUGAAGGGGCAACUGACACUCCUGAAUGAAUAUGAGGAAACCCAAGGCAAAUUCAGGUUCACCACAUACACUCAGGGACAUCAGGUCCACCCCUAAACUGGAUGAGGCAUGUCUCAACUGGCAUCUUCAGACUUGACAUACAGGAAGAAGGUCUGUUUCCUUGUGUUUGUGGCUCAUGAGCCGACAUGGGCUCUCAUGGGCUCCCAUGUGGAGAGAACUCUGGGUACCCACAUACAUAUUGUUGUGGUCUUUGCACAUAUGUGUGCAUGUACACUGCACAUACAUGUCUGCAUGUGACAGGUGCCUGGGCACCUGCUAGAACCUGAGGGAGGCGGUCUUUUCAUGGAUCUCCGGGGGGGAAGGCUGAUGGACAUGAAAUACUUUUUAGGUGCUAUCCUUCUGGAACUUGGUCCCCAGAAAACCACAGCUGACAGUAAAGAGAGAUACGGACGGUCUUGGAGGACUAUGGAGAGCAGAUGGCUAUAAUUCCAGGACCAGAUUUUUUUUUUUCUUGUAACCACUUCCCCCACAACCUUUACACCAAAGGGAGACAAACACUUGUUGACUUAAGCAAAAAACAGAAACAAUUUCCUUCUGAGAAGUGCAACACAAAGAAACCUGAUGCUUUUUGGGCUGUGGAAGACUCCCCAUCCCCCUUCUUGGAGCAGGACCUUCAGUGAUGGGGACAGUGGGUGUCGGGCCAGCUGGCCUGGUUUUACUUCACACCAGGAGAUCCAGGGAACGAGCCACCAUCCUCUCUGCUUUAUUUAGUGAGACAGCACUUCAUAGCAACAGUAGGCUUAAUCACAGUCUAUACCCACAUUUCACUUCCCAUUUCUAUGCCUACUCCUUGCCUUUUGGUUAUUUGGGGUGGGGGGUGGCAAUGGCAUGCUGAUUCUAUCUUCCAAGCACCCUCCCCAAAUCUCCUACUUCCCUGCUGGAAAGGAUUCCCUUCUCAUGUUAAUUUGAUGACCCAGCCAGCUGCACCUCUCCACCCCCGCACCCCCAGCACAAAAGAAAAAGCCACUACCUUACUCCUUCAGAAUUACAUUCCCGCUCAGGUGGUCUUCUUAACUACCAGCCCAGUCCAAAGAACCCUCGUCAUAUUUCCGGGUUCAUCUGAACCAGACAUUCAAGUAGUGCCCCCACAUGGAUAUUUAAGGACCAUGGAGGAGGGGGUAUUCCCUCCUCCCCCUGUGUUCCACCUCCCAGAAGUGGCUGCUUUUCAGAGUGGAGGUGAUUCAGCUUUCCUAGAAGAUCAUUUGCAGGGGAAAAAAAUUUACAGUACUACAGCUGAGAGUGCUGCCUGCUUCCCUCGAUGAAAAAAAAUCCUGCUCUCAGACACAUGGAAUUCCCAUUGAUGAGGUUUGGCCAACACCAGGCACUGGAUUUUCCCUAUUAAACUUAAAGCUCAGGGUGAAAGAUGCAGGGGUGGGAGAAGGGAUAACGAUACCUUUUCAACCUUUUCAGCCCUCUGGGGGAUUUGAACUUUGGCCCCCAAGGUCUAAUGGCUGAUGUUCAAAAGCCCCCCGCCCUCCAUCCCUCCACCUCUCUUCCCCAAGCUCCUUCCUAACAAAGAAUGAUUCUCUUUGCUACACACAAUAAAGCCCUGGUGGAUUUACCCAGAUUAAAAAACCCCUUGAAGUCCCUGUCAAAACUAAUCUUCUCAGGAGAAACACUUGUUGAUAACCACCUCGCUUUGUGCUGUAGCAGGGAGGAGCUGGGAGGACCAGAACCCAGCAGAGAAACUGGCUUGUGACCUCCCUAUCGUCACAUGGCCCCAGGCACGAUACAAUCCCUGACCUCAGAGAACGCCCCUCCUCCCACGACACACAAAUAUUCUGCAAGCCCCCGCCCCAUUUAGCUUCUCCACCUCAAGCUCCCUCUGUAACACCACCAGCCCCUCAAAGCAGGAAGGCCAACCCUGUAGGUCCCCAGACCGACAGACCCUGGCUGAGCUCCAGCCUUUCCCUCCUUCUCUGCCGCCCCCGAGCUUUAACUCUUCACCCUGCAGGGCCCAGCCUCUCUUGUUUUUCCUGCUGCAAACUUUGUCAGGAGCCUUUUCAGGCGGUUUUCCUCUAUACAACCAGCCCUUAAGAUAUCAUGCAUAAAGAUUUCCCUCUACAGGUGGUUGUGAGCUGUAGCAGUUUUUGCUCUUGCAAUGGAAACAUUUAUUUUAAAUUUCAUUUUACCCACAAAUAAGCUUUUAAACAAAAAUUAUUUUACUUACACCCACUAAAGACUUAGCAUUUUCUCCAAAUAGUGGGGAGAAGAUUAAGUUCUCUAUGCAAGACAUGUUACCACUCCCAUCACCACCACCAUACCCUGAUUCUUCAUCUCCCCGACUCUCCCCACUUUGCUCUGACUUCAUGAAGCCUUUUUGGAACUAAAUUUUCAUGUGCAAAAUAAUUACAAGAAUUAAGACACUCAGUGAAUGAGAAUCAAUCCACGAUACGGCCAAGUGGCAGAAGCACAUGCCCACUACAGAAUACCCCUCCACCUUCCACCCCCAAACCACAGAACACUAGGGUGGGGGAAGCCAAGACGGCACCCCCUCCCCAGCUUAACAACAGAGGACUGUCUUCCAGCUGGCUUGCCUCCUGCAAAAACCACACACACAAGACCCCAGGAAAGCCUGCCCAAGAAGUCUAGGCAAUUUGUACAAAGAUAAUUGUUCAAUGAAAACGACAGUAAUCAUGGUCAGUCAUACAAAUCUACUCCUCCAAACAUUCACCAACUGACAUCAUAAACUUUGCAAAAGCCAAACACAAGACAGUGCAUGGUAUAACCUACCUUGGCGAGCUCCUUCACUUUUUGUGCAAAUGUUUUCCCCUCCGCAUGCUUUACAUAGAUUUCUAGGGAAAUUUGGAAGGACUGGUGAGGGGGUGGGGGGUGGUGAGGGAAUGAGGGUAAUAUAAAUAAGGAAGCAUUUUAAAUGCACCACGCAAAAAGCUCGGGAUUUCACGUUAUGUGUCUGCACUCUUCCCGGAGCAAAGCAAAACAGUUCGCGUUCAGUGCCAGACUUGGAGGGAGAGACAGAAGAGAGAGGGUGGGGGAGAGAGGGAGGGGAUGAGAGGGAGGAAAGAGAGGGAGGGGGAGAGAGAAAAAGAGGGUGGGGGGAUGCUGAAGGAGAGAGGGAGAAGAAGAGAAAGAAAGAGGAAAUGAGAGAGGAAUAGAGGUGAGGGGAGAGGGAGGGAGGGAGAAGAAAGGAGGGGGAGAGCCAAAAGGAAGGAGGAGAAAGAGGAGGCAGCCCCCUCCCACGCUCCCACCCCCACACAUUCAGGCACCUUCUGAGUAACUGAUCAGAGCAAAGAACUCAUCUCCCACGUUUAAAAACCCC
rnacentral:lncRNA from 1 species